GCAACUGUGGCUAAGUGGUUAAGGCGUCUGACUCGAAGUCAGAUUCUCUUUGGGAGCGCAGGUUCGAAUCCUGCUGGUUGAG